AUCGGCGUAGUGUAAUUGGUAACACAGCGGAAUUUGGCUCCGCCGACGUUGGUUCGAGACCAGCCGCCGAUG
rnacentral:tRNA from 1 species